rnacentral:lncRNA from 1 species
GCAUCAUUCCCUGGGAGCGUGAGGCAGCCAUUCAGGUUGGAAACCACUUGGAUUGUGCCCUGUGCUGUGGGAUUCCUGCCCAUGGAGAACAUUCCUUGGGGUGUGUCUGUGCCCUGCCUUCACCUGCAGCCCCUCAGAGCCCAAGUGUUCAUCAUGCCAUGCCCCACACAGCACCUUGCUCAGCCCUGCACACCUGAAAGCACUCAGGGACUCCUAAAACAAGCUGCUUGUUGGGUUGCUAGGGAGUGGCAGCAGGAAAGCUCCCUUUGGAGUGGGAUUACGGGAUAUAAACCACGCACCUACGCAAACCUCCUCGUGUAAUUUCCCUGAUUUAUUUGUUUGAGCUUCUUGCACCUUCAGGUGUGGAGCAUUAUCUGCUGUUCCUGUAAAAGGGGAAUGUUCUUGCUCCCUUCUUUGUUGGCAGCUGGAGGAAAACCUGUGGUUAUGGAAGGUGGCAGAGCAGAGCUUUGGGAACAAAAUGAACUGCACUGGGAUUGCUGCUCCUUUCAAACUGCUAAAAGAUGCCAUGGAAUACAGUGGGGAUUUAGAGCUGUUAUAGUCCCUGAUUGCCCCACAACAGACAGAAAUUUCCAAGAGGAAUUUUAAUCCAGUGGUUGGUGCUUCCAGGCUCCUAGUUCUGCUGGAAUAUUUGGAGGGAGAAUUACUCACACUGUGGCUUCCUGAGGUUGGAAGUUCUGCCCCAUUCAGAGGAGUUGCAUUGCCCUGGAGUGCUUCAUUCAGGAUAAGUGCCAGCAGCUGAGACAGCUUCUGCUUCACUUUCACUUGGGCAAGAAGGGAGAAAGGAAAUUCACUGGGAAUACUUGGAAUGCAAUCCUGCAGUCUCAUGGCAAAUUCUGACUCCUGGUCAGCUGCAGUGGCCCUGGAGGAUUUCUCCAGAGAUUCCUCAAAGCAGCAGCAGCCGUGGCCAUCCAAGGAGAGCUGAAGCAUCAGGGCACUGUGUGUUCCCAGGGGGACAGGAGAGCCUGAGCAGGGAGCCUGCACUGAAAUCCUGGGGCUCACAGCAUUGCUCUGGGGAGGACAGCCAGUCCUUGUUCCACUCUCCAUCUGACCUUCACUCGAGGCAGGGGGUCAGGAUUGCAAGCACAUCUCAGAGCAUCCUCUGGCAGCUCCUGCACUGCACUGGUGGAAUCUCUUCUUUAGUGGCACCAGGAAGAAGCAGCAGGAAAUACAGAGUGAAGUUCUUCCACACAAGCUGCUGCCAGACCACUGUCCACUGUAUCUGGAGAAUCCCUACAUCCUCAGUCCAGACAGGAUCUGAGCCUGGGCCAGCAGGAAUCUUUUACUGGCUGCUGCCUUUGUGCUUUGGAGCCCUGCAGAAGGGUUUGUCUCCCGUCACGUGA